GUACACUCCUGCGGGAGGCAGCAGUGGGGAAUAUUGGACAAUGGGCGCAAGCCUGAUCCAGCCAUGCCGCGUGAGUGAUGAAGGCCCUAGGGUUGUAAAGCUCUUUCACCGGUGAAGAUAAUGACGGUAACCGGAGAAGAAGCCCCGGCUAACUUCGUGCCAGCAGCCGCGGUAAUACGAAGGGGGCUAGCGUUGUUCGGAUUUACUGGGCGUAAAGCGCACGUAGGCGGACUAUUAAGUCAGGGGUGAAAUCCCGGGGCUCAACCCCGGAACUGCCUUUGAUACUGGUAGUCUUGAGUUCGAGAGAGGUGAGUGGAAUUCCGAGUGUAGAGGUGAAAUUCGUAGAUAUUCGGAGGAACACCAGUGGCGAAGGCGGCUCACUGGCUCGAUACUGACGCUGAGGUGCGAAAGCGUGGGGAGCAAACAGGAUUAGAAACCCUUGUAGUCCCAUGA
rnacentral:rRNA from 1 species